GACGAACGCUGGCGGCGUGCUUAACACAUGCAAGUCGUACGGUAAGGCCCUUUCGGGGGUACACGAGUGGCGAACGGGUGAGUAACACGUGAGUAACCUGCCCACAACUUUGGGAUAACGCUAGGAAACUGGUGCUAAUACUGGAUAUGUGCUCCUGCUGCAUGGUGGGGGUUGGAAAGCUCCGGCGGUUGUGGAUGGACUCGCGGCCUAUCAGCUUGUUGGUGGGGUAGUGGCCUACCAAGGCGGCGACGGGUAGCCGGCCUGAGAGGGUGACCGGCCACAUUGGGACUGAGAUACGGCCCAGACUCCGACGGGAGGCAGCAGUGGGGAAUAUUGAACAAGGGGCGCAAGCCUGAUGCAGCAACGCCGCGGGCGGGAUGACGGCCUUCGGGUUGUAAACCGCUUUCAGCAGGGACGAAGCUUUUUGUGACGGUACCUGCAGAAGAAGCACCGGCUAACUACGUG
rnacentral:rRNA from 1 species